rnacentral:pre_miRNA from 1 species
AAACCGCCCCCUAAGUUUUGCAACUAUAUCAGUUUUGGCCUUUAAGGCCAAUUUUUGAUAAAAAAAAAUAAAAAAAACUAACACGUGGCACCUCACUUAGGGUGCCACGUCAGCGUUGACCGAGUCAAAAUUGGCCUUGGGGGUCAUAACUGCCACAAAUGCAAAACUUAUGGGGCGGUUU